rnacentral:lncRNA from 1 species
GGGGAAAAAAGAAAGAAAAAGACAAGGAAAAAUCGAUUGAAAAGCAAUGCUAAGCAAAUCAAAGUGAUAGUCACUUGAGCCAGGAUUUAGCGACCGUAGUAGUGCUAUUCUAAUGGUGGGAAGUAGCCUCCGAGAUUCUAUUAAAUCUUUUUAGUCAUUGUCUGCACUGUUACAUGUAUAGAUUAUGUGUCAUGGCUGUUGUCCAUAUACUUGCCAAUGCCCCCUUUCGAAAGUUUUAGAAUGUCACAUUUGCAGAAAGAUUUCAAGGCUGGUAAGCAAAUCAGGCUACAAGCUUACUCAAGCCAUAAAAUCUGUAAUAGACCAACUAAAGUUUGCCAUAUUAACGAUGGCAGAACAACUAAUUUUACCUAGUUAGUCCUGGCAUGCCUUCUUCAGAGUUCUUCUGUUAUACUUAUUCCAAAAUGACCAUUUAAUGCUAGGGGCUGCAUCCAAAAUUUAUGCAUAUUAGUUGGUGUUAUUUUCUGCAUCAAAUGUCAAAGCACACAUGCUGGUUGAGGCAUAACAAACUGAGCUAUGGAGAAGGGGAUCCAAAUUUUACUAUAACAUCGUAGUGCAGUAAUACAGAUUCCGUCUCUUUUCAGCUUAGAUCGUAAUUGGAGUAAUAGCUGAUCUUUUCAAUCUUUUCUGCAUGAUGCUUCACUAAGCACAACUAGCCU